AGAGUUUGAUCCUGGCUCAGGAUGAACGCUGGCGGUAUGCUUAACACAUGCAAGUCGAACGGUCUCUUCGGAGAUAGUGGCGGACGGGUGAGUAACGCGUGAGAAUCUGGCUCCAGGUCUGGGACAACAGUUGGAAACGGCUGCUAAUACCGGAUGUGCCUGUGGGUGAAAGACUUGUCACCUGGAGAUGAGCUCGCGUCAGAUUAGCUAGUAGGUGAGGUAAAGGCUUACCUAGGCGACGAUCUGUAGCUGGUCUGAGAGGACGAUCAGCCACACUGGAACUGAGACACGGUCCAGACUCCUACGGGAGGCAGCAGUGGGGAAUUUUCCGCAAUGGGCGCAAGCCUGACGGAGCAAGACCGCGUGAGGGAAGAAGGUCUGUGGAUUGUAAACCUCUUUUGAUCGGGAAGAAGACAGUGACGGUACCGAUCGAUCAGCUCCGAACCCC
rnacentral:rRNA from 1 species